AACUUAAGCAUAUAACUAAGCGGAGGAAAAGAAACUAACCAGGAUUCCCCCAGUAACGGCGAGUGAAGCGGGAAGAGCUCAUGUUUGAAAUCCAGCUCUCAACAGUGCUGGAGUUGUAACCUAGAGGUGCGUGUUGCCUGCCGGGGGGGCCGCGGCUAAGUCCGAUUUGAAAAGGGCACCAAGGAGGGUGGCAGUCCCGUUCUUGCCGCAGUCCCGCCGGCGAUGUGGCCCGCUUCCAACGAGUCGAGUUGCUUGGGAUUGCAGCUCAAAGUGGGUGGUAAACUCCAUCCAAAGCUAAACACGUGUGGGAGACCGAUAGCGAACAAGUACCGUGAGGGAAAGAUGCAAAGAACUUUGAAAAGAGAGUCAAAGAGUGCCUGAAAUUGCUGAGAGGGAAGCGAAGGAAAGUAGUGUCGGUCGUGGGGAUCUCGCACACGGGGAGCGGCCCGAUCAUCAUUCUUUGGUGGUCGGGCCCUCUCCGUUAUCCCCCGCACUGUCAGGGGCGGGUGCGCGGAUUGGCCGAGGCGGCGGCCAGAGGUAAAGGUGUUCCGAGGUAACAGCCGGACGAAUGCGGUAAUCAGGAUCCGCGUCUCGGGCGCGGCCGUCCCUGACGAAAUGUUUUUCUUUACCCCGUCUUGAAACACGGACCAAGGAGUCUAACAUGCCCGCGAGUACAGGGGUGGCGAAGACCCCCGUGCGCAGUGAAAGUGAACGCAGGUGGCAGGGCCGGAGCCUUCGGGCCCUCUGGCCCGCACCAUCGACCGACCACGGCACUACGAGGCCGAGGUUUGAGUGUGAGCGUGUAUGUUGGGACCCGAAAGAUGGUGAACUAUGCCUGAGUAGGGCGAAGCCAGGGGAAACUCUGGUGGAGGCUCGUAGCGAUUCUGACGUGCAAAUCGAUCGUGGGAUUUGGGUAUAGGGGCGAAAGACUAAUCGAACCAUCUAGUAGCUGGUUCCCUCCGAAAUUUCCCUCAGGAUAGCUGCAACCUUUGUUACCAGUUUUAUCAGGUAAAGCGAAUGAUUAGAGGCUGCGGGGGAGUAACUCCCUCGCCCUAUUCUCAAACUUUAAAUGGGUAAGCCACCGGGGUCGCUUAAUUGGACUCGAUCGCACGGUUUGGGUUGAAUGAUGGUUGUUAGUGGGCCAGUCCGGGUAAGCUGGACUGGCGAUGCGGGAUGAACCGAACGCCUAGUUAAAGCGCCACACUGCCCGCUCACCUAGAUCCCACAAAAGGUGUUGGUUCAUUUUGACAGCAGGACGGUGGCCAUGGAAGUCGGAACCCGCUAAGGAGUGUGUACAACCU
rnacentral:rRNA from 1 species